AACAUGUCUGUGUGAAUUAAUUAUAAAGUCUGACCUGCCCACUGAUUAAUUUAAAGGGCCGCGGUAAUUUGACCGUGCGAAGGUAGCAUAAUCAAUAGUCUUUUAAUUGGAGGCUUGAAUGAAAGGUUGGACGAGAGAUAAGCUGUCUCUUUUAUGUUAUUUGAAUUUAACUUUUAAGUGAAAAGGCUUAAAUUAUUUAGGGGGACGAUAAGACCCUAUAAAACUUGAUAUAAAUUUAUUUUAAUUUGUGAUUUAAGUUAAAAAUAAUUUUGUUUAAAUUAUAUUUCGUUGGGGAGAUGAAGAUAUAAUAUGUAACUGUCUGAUUAAUUUAAUAGUAAUAAUUAGUGUUUGAUCCUUCUUUGUGGAUUUUAAGAAUAAGUUACUUUAGGGAUAACAGCGUGAUUUUCUUUGAGAGUUCUUAUCGACAAGAGUAGUUGCGACCUCGAUGUUGAAUUAAAAUUUCAGUUAAAUGCAGAUGUUUGACUAGUGGGUCUGUUCGACCUUUAAAAUUUUACAU
rnacentral:rRNA from 1 species